rnacentral:rRNA from 1 species
CCCUGCCAUUUGUACACACCGCCCGUCGCUACUACCGAUUGAAUGAUUUAGUGAGGUCUUCGGACCGGUGCGCGGCCUUUGCCUCGUGCAGUUGCCGAUGCUACUGGAAAGAUGACCAAACUUGAUUA